CAGACAUGUUUUGCUCACUCCUUACCGUAAGGUCUCAGUUGAGGGCCUGUAACCUUAUUCCUGAAGAUGACCAAGGAGCAGCCAAGGUGAGCAGCCAGUGGAUGAAGAAAGCCAUCAUCAUCACUAUCCUCUCACUUUUCUUUCCCAUCCUCCUGGUUGGGCGGGGUUGGGGAAGAUAGUGUGCCAUGAUGGCAUUAGGGAUACCUCUCUCUCUGUUUGGUGGGAGAGUUUGCCCCAGCACUGGUGGGAAUGGUUUUGGACCUCUAGUGUCCAGUUUUGUGAUGUAAGGUUGAUGUCACCGUGCGUACAGAGUCUGGCAUUCAUCACCGACUUAGGUCUGAUGGGGUGCCUCUCCCCAGGCCAGUUACUGAGUUCUUUAUUUUUUUUAUCUCUUUCCUCUUUAGGACCUAAGAAAGAGUCUGAUGAGGCACGUUGA
rnacentral:lncRNA from 1 species